CCUGCAGCCUAACCCAAAGGUCCCGCCGUCCUCCAUUGGCGGGACUUUGUCAGGCGUGCAAACAGAACCAGAACCUUGUCGCCUUUCUCUGACUCUGGUGUCUUUGAAAGUGAAUUCUUGGUCCGACACUU
ensembl:snoRNA SNORA68 small nucleolar RNA, H/ACA box 68